rnacentral:rRNA from 1 species
UACGAAGGGGGCUAGCGUUGCUCGGAAUCACUGGGCGUAAAGCGCACGUAGGCGGAUUUGUAAGUCAGGGGUGAAAUCCCGGGGCUCAACCUCGGAACUGCCUUUGAUACUGCAAAUCUCGAGUCCGGAAGAGGUGAGUGGAAUUCCUAGUGUAGAGGUGAAAUUCGUAGAUAUCGGGAGGAACACCAGUGGCGAAGGCGACUACCUGGCCUGUUCUUGACGCUGAGGCGCGAAAGCUAGGGGAGCAAACGGG